GAACCUGAAACCGUGUACGUACAAGCAGUGGGAGCCUCUUUUAUGGGGUGACUGCGUACCUUUUGUAUAAUGGGUCAGCGACUUAUAUUCUGUAGCAAGGUUAACCGAAUAGGGGAGCCGAAGGGAAACCGAGUCUUAACUGGGCGUUAAGUUGCAGGGUAUAGACCCGAAACCCGGUGAUCUAGCCAUGGGCAGGUUGAAGGUUGGGUAACACUAACUGGAGGACCGAACCGACUAAUGUUGAAAAAUUAGCGGAUGACUUGUGGCUGGGGGUGAAAGGCCAAUCAAACCGGGAGAUAGCUGGUUCUCCCCGAAAGCUAUUUAGGUAGCGCCUCGUGAAUUCAUCUCCGGGGGUAGAGCACUGUUUCGGCAAGGGGGUCAUCCCGACUUACCAACCCGAUGCAAACUGCGAAUACCGGAGAAUGUUAUCACGGGAGACACACGGCGGGUGCUAACGUCCGUCGUGAAGAGGGAAACAACCCAGACCGCCAGCUAAGGUCCCAAAGUCAUGGUUAAGUGGGAAACGAUGUGGGAAGGCCCAGACAGCCAGGAUGUUGGCUUAGAAGCAGCCAUCAUUUAAAGAAAGCGUAAUAGCUCACUGGUCGAGUCGGCCUGCGCGGAAGAUGUAACGGGGCUAAACCAUGCACCGAAGCUGCGGCAGCGACACUAUGUGUUGUUGGGUAGGGGAGCGUUCUGUAAGCCUGUGAAGGUGUACUGUGAGGUAUGCUGGAGGUAUCAGAAGUGCGAAUGCUGACAUAAGUAACGAUAAAGCGGGUGAAAAGCCCGCUCGCCGGAAGACCAAGGGUUCCUGUCCAACGUUAAUCGGGGCAGGGUGAGUCGACCCCUAAGGCGAGGCCGAAAGGCGUAGUCGAUGGGAAACAGGUUAAUAUUCCUGUACUUGGUGUUACUGCGAAGGGGGGACGGAGAAGGCUAUGUUGGCCGGGCGACGGUUGUCCCGGUUUAAGCGUGUAGGCUGGUUUUCCAGGCAAAUCCGGAAAAUCAAGGCUGAGGCGUGAUGACGAGGCACUACGGUGCUGAAGCAACAAAUGCCCUGCUUCCAGGAAAAG
rnacentral:rRNA from 1 species